AUUGAACGCUGGCGGCAUGCCUUACACAUGCAAGUCGAACGGUAACGCGGGGCAACCUGGCGACGAGUGGCGAACGGGUGAGUAAUGCAUCGGAACGUGCCCAGUAGUGGGGGAUAGCCCGGCGAAAGCCGGAUUAAUACCGCAUACGACCUACGGGUAAAAGCGGGGGAUCGCAAGACCUCGCGCUAUUGGAGCGGCCGAUGUCAGAUUAGGUAGUUGGUGGGGUAAAGGCCCACCAAGCCUUCGAUCUGUAGCUGGUCUGAGAGGACGACCAGCCACACUGGGACUGAGACACGGCCCAGACUCCUACGGGAGGCAGCAGUGGGGAAUUUUGGACAAUGGGCGCAAGCCUGAUCCAGCUAUGCCGCGUGCGGGAAGAAGGCCUUCGGGUUGUAAACCGCUUUUGUCAGGGAAGAAACGCUCCGGGCUAAUACCCUGGGGUAAUGACGGUACCUGAAGAAUAAGCACCGGCUAACUACGUGCCAGCAGCCGCAGUAAAAC
rnacentral:rRNA from 1 species